UGUGGCCUUUUGAAUUCUCUACAACAGAAGUCCUCACUUUCCCAAACUUCAUUUCCCAGAAUUCUGCUUACUGCCUCGUGCCUCCGUGUUCGUUCUCUAAAGGGAUUUUGAGAUAAAAGAAGGGGAUUAAUGAGAACUGAAUCAACCCUGUGCGUGCGUAGUCUAUACCAGUGAUUCCCAAAGUGGGUGCUACCUCCCCCUGGUGGGCGCUGCAGCAAUCCAGAGGAGCGGUCAUGGCCACAGGAAGUCUCUGUUGUUCUUGCCAAGAGGCAGAAGAUGCAUUAGCUGACACCUCAUCUACAAUUACAAUAACUGAUGCUGCACUGGUAUUGGUAGUUGCUCUUGGUCCAUGUAGCCUACAGCUUUGAACCUUCAGCCUGGAAUUAUGGGGGACAAAGAAUGGAAU
rnacentral:lncRNA from 11 species